GAUCUUACUCUGCAGAGCCCAAGUGGGGCUUAGGCCCUCAUUCCUCAGUGAGGGCCUCUACGGUUGUGAUAGUCCUCCUGCUUAACUCCUGACCAAACGACAUCUCUGCCUUUUCUCCUCAUCUCAAUAUGGACUUUUCUUUGUAUUAUUAGUUGUAUAUAAUCUGUUCUGUUAGUCUUCAGUUUGUUCUCAGAGAUGUUAUAUAUGUAGGUAUAGAUUCUCUAUGGGAGAAGUAAAACUCAUGAGGUGGUACAAAUCUUUGGUCCUGAAGAAAAUAGUCCUUAAACAAGUGGGAUUUGCUACUGCUAAAGGCAGAAAUGAAAAGAAUGUGAAACACUGUAAGAAAGAUUCGUUUAGGGAAACCAUUGCUUUGCCCCAUUACUCUGGUGUCUUUUAAAACUACUGUGAGCAACUCCUACCCUCAACUACGGUCUGUGAAGCACAGCUACGAUGGAGCUCUUCUAUGGUGUUGAUGUCCUUUGCCAAAGCUGUUUUAAUAAAGGAGUUUCCUUUG